rnacentral:rRNA from 1 species
UGAACCUGCGGAGGGAUCAUUGCAAGUGACCCCGGUCUAACCACCGGGAUGUUCAUAACCCUUUGUGGUCCGAUUCUGUUGCCUCCGGGGCGACCCUGCCUUCGGGCGGGGGCUCCGGGUGGACACUUCAAACUCUUGCGUAACUUUGCAGUCUGAGUAAACUUAAUUAAUAAAUUAAAACUUUUAACAACGGAUCUCUUGGUUCUGGCAUCGAUGAAGAACGCAGCGAAAUGCGAUAAGUAAUGUGAAUUGCAGAAUUCAGUGAAUCAUCGAAUCUUUGAACGCACAUUGCGCCCCCUGGUAUUCCGGGGGGCAUGCCUGUUCGAGCGUCAUUUCACCACUCAAGCCUCGCUUGGUAUUGGGCAUCGCGGUCCGCCGCGUGCCUCAAAUCGACCGGCUGGGUCUUCUGUCCCCUAAGCGUUGUGGAAACUAUUCGCUAAAGGGUGCUCUGGAGGCUACGCCGUAAAACAACCCCAGUUCUAAAGUAGACCUCGGAUCACGUCCGGGUACCCGCUGAGCCUAAACAAAUCA